rnacentral:rRNA from 1 species
GAUCAAGUAUAAAAGGGCGCACGGAGGAUACCUUGGCACUAUCAGCCGAUGAAGGACGCGACUGGCUGCGAUAUGCCCCGGGGAGCUGUCAAAGUAGCUUUGAUCCGGGGAUUUCCGAAUGGGGCAACCUGUUACGAGUAAUAUCGUAACGUUUUUCGAUAACCCAGCGAACUGAAACAUCUUAGUACCUGGAGGAAAAGAGACAAAUUUUGCAUUCCCAAAGUAGUGGCGAGCGAAAUGGGAGGAGCCUAAACCUAUACAAUGCCAAGCUUGCAGGUUUUGUUGUAUAGGUGUCGCGGGGUAUUUUUUCUACAAACUGCAAAUUGUAGGGAGAGUAAAAAACUUAUCGUUUAGUUGAAUAUAGUUGGAAAGCUAUAACCAAAGAAGGUGAAAGUCCUGUAAGCGAAAAAUGAUAAACUCUCUUAAAAUAUUCCCAAGUACUAUGGGACACGAGAAAUCCCUUAGGAAUCUGGGUGGACCAUCACCCAAGGCUAAAUACUAGAUAGUGACCGAUAGUGAACUAGUACCGUGAGGGAAAGGUGAAAAGAACCGCGGAAGCGGAGUGAAAUAGAAUAUGAAACCGUGUGCCUACAAGCAGUAGGAGCUAUGACUUCGGUCAUAGUGACUGCAUGCCUAUUGAAGAAUGAGCCGUCGACUUACUGUUGCAUGCAAGGCGAAAGCCGAAGCGAAAGCGAGUUUUAACAGAGCGAUUAAGUAUGCAGUAGUAGACCCGAAACUGCAGCGACCUAGCCGUGGUCAGGAUGAAAUCCCGAUAAUAUCGGGAUGGAGGUCCGAACCGGUUGAUGUUGAAAAAUCUUCGGAUGAACUGCGGCUAGCAGUGAAAAGCUAAACGAGCUCAGAGAUAGCUGGUUCUCCUCGAAAUGGUUUUAGGGCCAGCCUUAAGUAAAAUUGCUUUGGGGGUAGAGUACAGUUUGAACUAGGGGGCAGGAAUGCCUUCCAACUUCUUGCUAACUCCGAAUACCAAAGUUAAGUUUCUUGGGAGUGAGAGUCCGGGGGAUAAGCUCCAGGCUCAAAAGGGAAACAGCCCAGACCAUCAGCUAAGGUCCCUAAAUGUAUGCUAAGUGGAUAAGGUAGUUGAGUCACCAAAACAGCCAGGAGGUUGGCUUAGAAGCAGCCAUCCUUUAAAGAAAGCGUAACAGCUCACUGGUCGAGUGAUUUUGCGCCGAAAAUACACGGGGCUCAAGCAUACUACCGAAGCUAUGGAUGCCCCGAUUUGAUCGGGGCGUGGUAGAGGAGCGUUCCGUUUUAGGUUGAAGUCGCAGCGCGAGCUGCGGUGGACGAUACGGAAGUGAGUAUGACGGCAUAAGUAACGAAAAGAUGAGUGAGAAUCUCAUCCGCCUAAAGUCUAAGGUUUCCUGGGGAAGGUUCGUCCGCCCAGGGUAAGUCGAUAUCUAAGCUGAGGCCGAAAGGCGUAGGUGAUUGGCAAACGGGUUAAUAUUCCCGUACCACCUUGUAGAGUUAACACUAGGAGGGACGCAGAAGGGUAAGUCAUCCGCUUAUUGGAUUGCGGUCUAAGUACGUAGGGGGUAAGGUAGGCAAAUCCGCCUUAUAUUAAACCCUGAAGUACAAAUGGGACCCUGACUUCUAGUCGGGGGAACUGACUGAUCCCACGCUGACGAGAAAAGCUUCGAGUGUUUUUACAGGGUGAUCGUACUAUAAACCGACACAGGUGGACAGGUAGAGAAUACUAAGGCGCGCGAGAGAACUCUCGCUAAGGAACUCGGCAAAAUGGUUUCGUAACUUCGGGAGAAGAAACGCCCUAGUAGAGUGUCAAAGCUCGAAUGGGUCACAGAAACCAGACUCUUGCAACUGUUUAACAAAAACACAGGUCUCUGCAAACCAGAAAUGGGAAGUAUAGGGGCCGAUGCCUGCCCAGUGCUGGAAGGUUAAGGGGCGAGCUGAGAUUAUAUCAAGGUUCAAACCGAAGCCCCAGUGAACGGCGGCCGUAACUAUAACGGUCCUAAGGUAGCGAAAUUCCUUGUCGGGUAAACAUUGGUCGGUCUUUUUCAUAUUUUGAAAAAGAUUACUUGCCCGAAUUAAGUAGUGAUACUUAAUAAGUAAACCAACUCAUAACGGUGAACCCUAAGUUGUGAAAGCAAUAUGGGAAUACCGCGGGAACCAUUAACCAUAAAAGGUAUAUGGACCUGUAACGACUGAUCCGAAAGGAGAGGUUUCUUGUUAUAAUGCAAGGAACAACACGUUGGCUCUUGUUAAGAAAGAGGGUGUCAUGGAUUUUGCAUCGUUUAUUUCUGGUUUUGUUGAUGGAGAAGGAUGUUUUUCUGUUUCUUUUAACUGGCGUUUAAAACUUACGCUAGGAAUAGAAGUAAGGCCAUCUUUUUCAAUAAGCCAGAACAAAAGAAGUUUGGAAAUUCUAAAUAAAAUACAAAAGUAUUUUAAUUGUGGAGGAAUAAGCUUUUCAAAAAAAGAUCAAACUUAUAAGUAUGAAGUAAGAUCUAUUGAAGAUUUAAUAAGAAAAAUUAUUCCACAUUUUGAAAAAUAUCCACUUCAAAGCAAUAAAAAAAAUGACUUUGAAAGUUUUGUAUUUAUUUGUUGUAAAGUUUUUAAUAAUCAACAUCAGAAUGUAAAUUAUUUAGAGCAGAUUAUUGAAAAAGCUUUUAAAAUGAAUCCAGGCGGAAAAAGAAAAAUAACGAAGGCAGAACUCCUAAAACACCUAGACAAGAUGAAGGUAUAGUCUGAUUCUAGUUGAAAGACUAAGACAAAAUGAAGUUCCGACCCGCACGAAAGGCGUAACGACUUGAGCACUGUCUCAACGAGAGGCUCGGUGAAAUUGGAUUAUCAGUGAAGAUACUGAUUACCUGCAGAAGGACAGAAAGACCCCGUGGAGCUUUACUGUAACUUGGCUUUGAGUUUCGAAAUAAUUUGUGCAGGAUAGGUGGGAGGCUAUGAGAUCGCGACGCUAGUUGCGAUGGAGCCAUCCUUGAGAUACCACCUUAAUUCUUUUGGAGUUCUAACCACAUACUGUGAAACCAGUUGUGGAACAGAGUCUGGUGGGCAGUUUGACUGGGGCGGUCGCCUCCUAAACGGUAACGGAGGUGUCCAAAGGUACCCUCAGAGCGGUCGGAAAUCGCUUGUAGAGUGCAAGAGCAGAAGGGUGCUUAACUGUGAGGCAUACACGCCAAGCAGGAACGAAAGUUGGGUCUAGUGAUCCGACGACACUGAAUGGAAGGGUCGUCGCUCAACGGAUAAAAGUUACCCCGGGGAUAACAGGCUUAUCUCCCCCAAGAGUUCACAUCGACGGGGAGGUUUGGCACCUCGAUGUCGGCUCGUCGC